rnacentral:rRNA from 1 species
ACCGCGGUUAUACGAGAGGCCCAAGUUGAUAGGCACUCGGCGUAAAGAGUGGUUAGAAACUAAGUAAACUAAAGCCGAACGCUCUCUUAACUGUUAUACGUUCUCGAGAGUAAGAAGCCCUUCUACGAAAGUGGCUUUAAUAACAUUGACCCCACGAAAGCAAUGGC